rnacentral:rRNA from 1 species
GGACGGGUGAGUAAUGUCUGGGAAACUGCCUGAUGGAGGGGGAUAACUACUGGAAACGGUAGCUAAUACCGCAUAACGUCGCAAGACCAAAGAGGGGGACCUUCGGGCCUCUUGCCAUCGGAUGUGCCCAGAUGGGAUUAGCUAGUAGGUGGGGUAACGGCUCACCUAGGCGACGAUCCCUAGCUGGUCUGAGAGGAUGACCAGCCACACUGGAACUGAGACACGGUCCAGACUCCUACGGGAGGCAGCAGUGGGGAAUAUUGCACAAUGGGCGCAAGCCUGAUGCAGCCAUGCCGCGUGUAUGAAGAAGGCCUUCGGGUUGUAAAGUACUUUCAGCGGGGAGGAAGGGAGUAAAGUUAAUACCUUUGCUCAUUGACGUUACCCGCAGAAGAAGCACCGGCUAACUCCGUGCCAGCAGCCGCGGUAAUACGGAGGGUGCAAGCGUUAAUCGGAAUUACUGGGCGUAAAGCGCACGCAGGCGGUUUGUUAAGUCAGAUGUGAAAUCCCCGGGCUCAACCUGGGAACUGCAUCUGAUACUGGCAAGCUUGAGUCUCGUAGAGGGGGGUAGAAUUCCAGGUGUAGCGGUGAAAUGCGUAGAGAUCUGGAGGAAUACCGGUGGCGAAGGCGGCCCCCUGGACGAAGACUGACGCUCAGGUGCGAAAGCGUGGGGAGCAAACAGGAUU